GACGUCGUGACGUGGUGACGUCACGAGCGGGUGUGGGGGGGGGAGUCGCUGAGCCGUUGUUAAAUCGACGGCGACGUCGCCAGCAAAACAGCGUCCAAACCAACUCCACGCAAACACCUCCACCACUAUAACAACAACAACCACCACCACCACUACAGCCGCCACCGCAACAACCACAGCCAGCACGAGGAGCUGAGAGAAGGCGAUGUUCGGUCUCAGAGAUCUGGACGACGAUCCCUUCAUGGCCGACCCGUUCCGGGCACAUCACGAGCGCGUGCGGCGCGCAAUGCAGGGCUUCCCAGCGCCGAUGCCCCUCGCUCUGCCCGACGCCCGUGCCCCCAUGGGCCUCUUUGCUCCGUUCCCGAGAUUGGGUUUCGGAAUGCAGCUCUCUCCGUUCGGCGCCUUCGGAAACCCGAUGUCGGGUGUCAUGAUGAAUCCGUUCCAGAUGAUGGACAGCAUGAUCAGCAACAUGCACAGCAUGAUGUCGUCUGAUAUGCACGGAAAUUAUUGCACGUUGUGUCCCCAGGAGACAAUCAGCCCCAACCCGAACGGGCACUCCUUCUCGUCCACCACCGUCAUGUCCUACAGCAACAUGGGUGACGGGCCUCCCCGUGUCUACCAGGCGAGCAGCCAGACCCACCAAGUGCCCGGGGGGGUGCGGGAGGUGCGGCGGUCGGUGCGCGACUCGGAGAGCGGCUUCGAGAAGAUGUCCAUCGGCCACCACAUUGGCGAGCGCGCCCACAUCAUUGAGCGCUCGCGCAACCAUCGCACGGGCAACCGCGAGGAGAACCAGGACUUCAUCAACCUGGAGGAGACUGAAGCACCGGCGUUUGACGCAGAGUUCCGCUCCCGCACCUCCCAGUACGCGGGCGGCGGAGGUGGGGACCGUCGCGUUGACUACCGUCGCCGUGCCGACCGCACCCCUGCUAUCAUGCCAGCCGGGGCUAACAGUGAGGUGCCGGUGAGGAGGUACGACUGGUGAGGGCGGGGGGGGCGGCGGUGGUGGCUGGGGUGGCCGGGGUGGGGGCUCACGCUUCCUCCUCCUCACCCCCGCACCCCCCACCCCCGCUCCCUCCCUCGCCGUCGCCUCGGAGACGGAGCCGCGCACGAUGCUGUAUGGGGUGUAAGUCACGUGUAGGCCUGGUCUCCAGUGAAAGUGUGACCUCUCAGCCCCGCUACGACCUCGCCUCACCUGACCUCCUCCCCCCACCCUCACCCCACCCGACCCUGUGUGGGACGAUGACGGUCGUUUGUGUUCACGAGCACCGGAAACAAAAAUAUCACAUGUUAUGCCAGCACAACGAAGGGGAGAAAGGUCCAGCCCCAUAAUGCCCGGGAGAGGGUGGGAGAGGGUUCGAGAGGGCCCCCCCCCACUACACCCCCCCCCUUCCUUCUAAAUUGAUACUCAAGUCUAAAAAUAUUGGUACAAUAUUUAACACCAAUUGUGGUUUUCUUCAAAGUUUGUACACACAGGGGGUGAGAGCUAGAGCAGAAUGCACGAUAGGCAAGAGAAGAUCAUAUCGUUGUUACCCUUGUUUAGCGUUUUCACGUUUUCUGAAAGUUUAACGUUCACCGUGUUAUUCCCCCCUCCUGAAUUUUUGUCUAUCACCUUCAACCCCACUAUUGAAACAAGUCGCGCGGCAGGGGCUGGAGUGAUCUUUGCGGGUGGUACAGCAGCAGCCCUAGGACAUGUCAACCGUCCGUCCCGUUCUGUUCAUCUUAUUGUUGUUCUUUCUCCCCUCCCUCACUUGACCGUCUCUUUUUACCGUCACCUCUCCUUCUGUUGUUUGUUGUUUUUUUGUCCACCGACGCCGCGGCUUAGACGGACGGCGGUUUUCCACGUGGUCGCCCGGCGUUGACGACAGAGCCCGGGGCGGGGGGAGGGCGGUCUGUGUGGGCUGCAUGGGGGCGGCGUGCAUCUUCCCGUGCGGCUCCGCGUCGCCACCUCGUGGUUUCACGUCGCUUUCGCACGGGGGGUGCGGGGGAUAGAUUUGGGUCGUUAACGAUUGAAUAUCGUUCAAGGUCAUAGAGACCUCGGAACACUUUGCCAUGCACUACACCUGCAUUUGCGUCCAGAAGCGAGUUUCUCCGUUAAAGCAAAAUAUGAAGCCGGAUGUGGUGUGAUGCACACGCAUGCUGUAAGUUCGUAUGAUAGUUCGAGCCUGAUUGUCCACUGUUGGAUGAGGAUCACCCUUUGUGGUGCUGCUCAUGAGGGCUAUUUGACCAUACUGCCCCACGCUGGUCAGUCCGGACUGGUGACAGGGCGGUAUAGCACACACAACAGUGGCUGCACUGCCAUCUGCUGCCCCAAUGCCUAUAACACCUGUUGUUAUAUGCAUGGCGGUCACCCAUCCACGCACUGUCGAGAUUCAACCCUGCUGUGAUUUGAUCCGUAGGUUAGACAGCUGCAAUUGCAGUGGGGGAUGGUGCAUUAAGGAGGGAAGAGCUCAUUACUCCAAUCCGAUCAGCAAAAUUAGUCGUGCAGGAAUGAGAGGAAUUGUACCUUGUGACUGCUAACAACCACUACUCUAGAUUGCAAAUGGGUCAAGGAUUCGGCACAUCAUGCCUGACUGAUGCCUUUAGGCGUGUCUCUGGUUCCUUGGUGAUUGUUUAAUGCAAUUUCCCUGAACGACGAUGCUAUAUGAAACAAUGUUUCUAGAAUAAAUAAAAGUUUUAAACUGCUAGAAAUGAGCUCUGUGACGAUUCACCAAAUUUUAAUUUAAAAUAUCUUUCCAAUUGCAACGCUCACAUCAAUGUGUGCAUGUGAGAAUACAUUAUUUUCGGUUCGUGCAUAUGUCAUAGGAUUUUUUACUUUAAUUGUAAUGGUUACGGUUCAAAACGAGAUGGUAUACAACGCAAAUGAGAAUAAUAUUGCGUAUCGAAUCGUGACCUUCAACCUUAACUGGAACAUCAAAUUGAAGGGCAGCGGGAGAUGGGUUGGUUGAAUUGGCACUUGCCUAUAAAUAACACUUUCAUUGCAGGUGGCAAACGCGCUUCUGUACACAUGCAGCUGACAUGGCCAGCUUAGUGUUCUGCGGUCUUCAUAAGGGUUGGGGAACACCCUCAACACAGUUCUCUCUUAAAGGCCAUGAUCCCACUAGGGCAGGCGUCGACAACGUUUGCUGCAGGCGUUUCCUCUUGUAAAAAUGUAGUUGCCCAAAAUGUGAACUAAACCUCGUCACAGCUCCUAUUAGUUGGCAAAUCGAGAUGGCAACUUCCUAAAAGGUGAUAGAUGAGAGGUCACGUGACUUGCCUGAAGUCAAGCUAAAGUCUUCGUUUGAGAGAUGGUGGCUUUACGUCGGUGCAUGACUGGGAUCUGGAUAGAUGAAAGAGAGAGAGCCUUCUGAUUGAUUUUCCUUUUCAUCAAAGCGUAUUAACACAAGCGCUUUGGACUAAGGUGCGAUAUAAAUCUAUGUAAGAUAAGAUGUAUGCAUCGACCAAGUGACUGGUAAGAAUGGAUCGCAUCAAGAAUUGUCACUGUUCAGUUGCCAUCAUCGCUCAUUCUUCAAGAGUUGCUGGUGACGGUUGCUGGCGUAGAUUUAUCCAAAACUGCCCCUGUGGAUCAUGGCCUUAAGGGUCUCGGUUAAUUCUUGCCAGAGAUUCCUAUUUAAAAUUCUGUCCCCGUGAGGCUCUGUCGGUUGUUAAGUGGCAUUGGGAAUGGCUUUACAGUUUUGUUUUUUGUGAAGCCAUUCUUCUUGGGGUUACAAGGCAUAGCGCAGCCGUCGCUUAUUUAACUUGUUAUGGAAACUAACAUAGUAAUAUCCUCCCUUAAGCAACUACGAUUUCCCAGGUCUCCUUUUUGAAACGCAGAUGGCUUGCGCCUGGUUUAAUAAAGGACGAUGAAUCGAAUCGGACUUGUCACUGUCCCUCUGCUGCAGUCUGUACCAAUCACACACUUUUCUUUGGUGUACUGAAUUUCCAAAAACAACUUGCCAACAAAGCACAUUGUUGUACAGCGUCUAAUAACGAGGCUCUGUGAAAACUCUUUAAUGAAGUACUGAGCAGUCAGUACAGAGUUAAAAAUGUCAAAAUUACUGGAACAAUGUUUGACUUAGGAAUCGAAAAGACAUUUUAUGCAGGGUACUCUGGAAUUAAAUGUUUUCUGUUGAUGAAUUCUUCUGAGCCAUUGUAUAGUCGUCGCAUUUGCUAAAGCAGGGUAAAUUAAAAGGGUAUCUUUGAAAAAUGUAACAACCCAUAAAACUCGGCCUAGAAAGUAAUAUUUUGUUGAGAGUAUACUCUGAAUUUACUCAAACGACUAAUUGAGGUGUACCCUGAAGCGACUUGGGUAACCCACAAAAACUCAUUGUCCAUUUGAUAGAGGUUUGUAGAGAGUAGGGAGGUGAUGCAACAAUUAUUUCCAAAAUUGGGUUUUCAUUUAAUCAAGCUAUUGUAUCGGAUUGUAUCCGCUGUACCUCUUGAUUGUAUAAUCGGUUGUUUUCACAGAGUCUCCAGCAUUUGUUGAGCAGAUGGUGCUGAAUGGUAAUCCAUUGUAAUGGUCCAAGAGCCAUCCAUGAAAACAAGGGGUGCCCAUAUACAAGUAUGUAGGGUGCAAAAAAAAAAACAAGGAAGGGCCCGACCCGGUCAUAAGAUGCCAUACGUCAUACAGGGUUUUCAGUUGAGAUAUUCACGAUGGGGUUUGUUGGCUGGCAGUGUGUACAGGCAGGGAGCCGGUUAGUUCCAGGCUGUGGAGGCUGCAGAGGAGCAGGAGCGACCUGCUGCUAUAUGUGGGUGUACCGUACCACCUCAUACUGUGCUGAUGGGGAAUGGAGCCCCCCCCCCACCCCACCCCUGUAGGGUUUUGGAAUGAGCAGUAGGGUCGUGAGCAAUCUGUUAACUGGGCGAAGACGUGACCUUGGUGGGCAAUGCUGUGCUCGCCUCAAGAAAAUUAUCCACAGCCUCUGCUGUGUUCUUGUUUAAGAGUGUGUAACCGUGCACGCGGCCUGCACCCGAAAUCUCUGGUGUGUUGGUGAGACGUGUCGAUUUCGCAGAUUUAUCAAUUCAAAUGGAUGUGAUAAUUUAAAAAUCAAACAGGAUGUCAAUUUUGAAGUCCAUAAAAAAAAGAUUUGUUCGGUUCUAUGAAAGUGUCCAAUUGAAGUUUGAUGUCUACUUUAAGAGAUACAUUCCUUUAUAAAAUGUUCAAAUAUGCAUGACAUUUUGCAGUGGGAGAGGAGAGUGGAAGUGUGUAGAGUCCUGGUCGAUGUGUUCACUCUCUAAGUGUAAAACAAGGGAUUGAGCUCACAUUUUGUAUAUUAAAGAAAAACUGUUCCCCUAGUAAUCUGUAGUUAACACCAUCUGUAUGUAAUUAAAAUAGUAGCCAAAAGGAUAUGUAAUUCAUCCAUCAGCCUAUGCACCUUCUGAACCUUAAAAAUUAAAGAACAAAAAUAAGGUGAUUAAAAGCAAUUAGUCAAGAUAAUGACGAUGUUUUAGCCAAAUCCGCAUUUGUUCUAAGCUAAAUUUACAUCGAUUUUGACUUAAUUGAAGUGCAUUGGAAAUGUGUGACCGGUUGCCAAUAGGCCGAUGGAUAACUUGUUCCCCUUCUGUCCUUUAAACUGACUUCGUCCACGGUGUGGUUUGUGUUCACCCUGGAUAAUUAUCUUCCAUCAGCAACCAUUCGGUGGCGCUGUGCCAACUUACCAUUCAUUUGGCCAGGUAAACACUUAGUCCGGGUCCAGUGUUGCCAACUCAGCGAUUUUUUUCCUAGAUCUAGCCCCUCUUCGGGUUGCCCUGUCAACAACUUGCUGUUCAAAGUAGCUAGCAACAACUAGCGACCUUCGCUGCAUAGUAAAUGGUACAGAUUUUGGAACGAUUCAAUUUGUGUUUUAAUGAUUCUGUAUCAGUUUACCGUUCAGUCUUUUGUAAAUUGGCUCAUGACACUGUUGGCAACUUUACACGGUCUAUGGAGCAACUUCUUUGCGGUUUAUUUGGCGACUUUGCGCGUUGAGGAGUUGGCAAGAUUGGGGUUCGGAUAAUUUACUCCCGAGUCUUCAGACUUGAGGAGCGUCCUGCCCUGGGAUUCUUGACAACAUAGUUUAUUUAAACUGGCACUUACAAAAAGCAAAGUUCAGAUUUAAAUUCAUUGUACAUUUAGUCGAUAGUUUAAUACUCUGUUUAAUACAGGGCCUAUAUUAGCAAUAUAACAAACGAAACAGGAUAACCCCCCCCCCCCCCUCCCAAUUAACCUUUUGAAAAUGUAAACCUGUCUGUGAAGUUGUAGAUUGUAGAUGUUAUAGACCAUAGAAUGUUGAAUAAUCUUUUUUUCGUUUUCGGUUUUAACUUUGUUCAUGAGUCAUUUUGAAUUGUGUCCAUGCGUAGUAGAGUGGCAUACUGUCUGUAAUGUUUGACAAGGCACAUUAAGGGUAAUAUUAAGAGGUGAGAAUGGUAUCAUCCAAGUCAGUGGUGGGGAACCUUUUACACAGGGCCGAAUACCUUUAGUGGGAAACAUACAUUAGUACACACGAAACCUUGAUGGACUAAACAUAUUUGCUACGACGAACGUCCAUUGCCCAAAACAUCACCUAUGAUGUAUAUGUUUAAUUAGAAGGCAGUGUUAUUGACCAAUUGUUAGUUUGUCUGGUUAAUUGUGCUUUUCCAUCACUGCCAAGGCAGCAGAAACAUCACCACAUUUUUUAUUAGGCUGGGGCUGGAUUGGCCUUUUUCUUACAACUUUAUAGACAGCCAGUGUUUCUGAGCGUGCUAAAAUCGGAAGCACAGUGCAGUCAGGUUGGAACAUUCCCUCCCAGUACCCAAUGACUGCAGCUGAGAAGCUGAUGGAAUAUCGUUUGCGGGCUGUUUAGAAGUUAGUAGCCCUGGUGUAAGCUACGCGUUUUAGGAAAUGAAGCCACGGGUCGUAUCUGGCCCCGCGGGGCCCAUAGGUUCCCCACCUCUGCCAGAAGUCAUUUGCUGUAUGUUGCGCGGAAAUGUUAACAAUAAAACCAAACGUUGAUUACGAUAUGAAAAUACACUUGUCACUCGUAUAAUAAACUGUCGACAGCAACUUGAGCCACCCGUCACAAAUGAACACAGGGGUGGCUGGCAAUCAGCUACCUUGAGUCGUUGAUGGAAUUUCCACAUUCCCUGUGGCCGGGAGUCGGUUUAUCCACAGGACAGCUGUUAAUAUUCGUGUAUAAAUGCUAAUAUUGUAGUGUCAAAUAUAUAGUGCUGACUGUCUAGUUAUAACGUACCACGAACUCUUUUCGGGUUUUGCAUAAAAAAGAGAGUGAUUAGCAAAUUUGAUACGAAAUAAAUGAAACCUAAACUACAAUUA